rnacentral:rRNA from 1 species
UACGAGGGGGGCAAGCGUUGUUCGGAAUUAUUGGGCGUAAAGGGUGCGUAGGCGGUCUGAUAAGUCAUCUGUGAAAUCUAUGGGCUCAACCCAUAGUCUGCAGGCGAAACUGUCGGGCUUGAGUAUGGGAGAGGUGAGUGGAAUUCCGGGUGUAGUGGUGAAAUGCGUAGAGAUCCGGAGGAACACCAGUGGCGAAGGCGGCUCGCUGGGCUCUACCUGACGCUGAGGCGCGAAAGCGUGGGGAGCGAACCGG